rnacentral:rRNA from 1 species
GACGAACGCUGGCGGCGUGCCUAAUACAUGCAAGUAGAACGCUGAAGAGAGGAGCUUGCUCUUCUUGGAUGAGUUGCGAACGGGUGAGUAACGCGUAGGUAACCUGCCUUGUAGCGGGGGAUAACUAUUGGAAACGAUAGCUAAUACCGCAUAACAAUGGAUGACACAUGUCAUUUAUUUGAAAGGGGCAAUUGCUCCACUACAAGAUGGACCUGCGUUGUAUUAGCUAGUAGGUGAGGUAAUGGCUCACCUAGGCGACGAUACAUAGCCGACCUGAGAGGGUGAUCGGCCACACUGGGACUGAGACACGGCCCAGACUCCUACGGGAGGCAGCAGUAGGGAAUCUUCGGCAAUGUGGGCAACCCUGACCGAGCAACGCCGCGUGAGGGAAGAAGGGUUUCGGAUCGGAAAGCUCUGUUGUAAGUCAAGAACGGGUGUGAGAGUGGAAAGUUCACACUGUGACGGUAGCUUACCAGAAAGGGACGGCUAACUACGUG